UAUUCAAAAUUUCAUCCACUUGUACUGUUAAAAGUUAAUGUGAUUGUCAGAAUAACUAAACAAUGACAUGUGACGUACCAUGUGUAUAUCAUGUUGACAUACCGAGACCAAUUUUUAAUAUAAAAAAUGGGUGAAAUUUUCAACA
rfam:Gossypium raimondii Chr11_contig_1168, whole genome shotgun sequence.